rnacentral:rRNA from 1 species
GAUGAACGCUGGCGGCGUGCCUAAUACAUGCAAGUCGAGCGAACGAACGAGAAGCUUGCUUCUCUGAUGUUAGCGGCGGACGGGUGAGUAACACGUGGAUAACCUACCUAUAAGACUGGGAUAACUUCGGGAAACCGGAGCUAAUACCGGAUAAUAUUUUGAACCGCAUGGUUCAAAAGUGAAAGACGGUCUUGCUGUCACUUAUAGAUGGAUCCGCGCUGCAUUAGCUAGUUGGUAAGGUAACGGCUUACCAAGGCAACGAUGCAUAGCCGACCUGAGAGGGUGAUCGGCCACACUGGAACUGAGACACGGUCCAGACUCCUACGGGAGGCAGCAGUAGGGAAUCUUCCGCAAUGGGCGAAAGCCUGACGGAGCAACGCCGCGUGAGUGAUGAAGGUCUUCGGAUCGUAAAACUCUGUUAUUAGGGAAGAACAUAUGUGUAAGUAACUGUGCACGUCUUGACGGUACCUAAUCAGAAAGCCACGGCUAACUACGUG